GAGCAAUGUGUGCUUGGACCUCCAAACAUCAGGAAAAGCAUUUAGCAAAAGCCACCUGCUUAGUCAACACUAGAGGAUGGAACAAGCUUCAAUGGCCUAUCAGAACUUUUACGUACUGAAGAAAGGGUGCCCAGAAGAGAAUCCAAACAAUUCAGGUCUCACUAGCCCUUGGCUGCCUGCCUGUACCUGUGACAUCUGCUGCUUUGUGUGCCCACAGAGAAGCUGACAGCACAGCAUUGUUAUUAGUUGCUCUGGUAGCUCCGAAGCACGAUUAUCUUUGAAUAAGGAUUACAAACCAGGCACCUUUUGUAUGGAAGUAAACCAAGGGAUGCAUCCUGAGUCUGCUCCUUUCACUAAUGGCAGCCAAUCCAUGGGCCCAAAGAAGAAAAAUCUCCACGAAAUGGCUACAGUGAACAUCAGUUCUUCAGGGUCUGCUCUGCAAAGCGGACCCACGCUCAUUUCCUAAUAAGACACAGCUUUGGA